GCUCUCCCGGCUUCGCCUCAGGGCUUUCCCGCCCUCCGCCGCCGCCUCAGCGCGGGGGGCUGAGCGAGCGGCGCCUCCGCUCGUGGUAACGGGGCUGCUGGCACCGGGACCCGCCCCGGGGAUCCCCCUCAAGUCCCCAGCGGGACCCUCUCGGCUUCGGGAGCCACGCCAUGGCAUCUCCACGGACUUCAGUUUUUGGGAGGUUUGGUGGUCCCUGCCCCUGGCAUGUGGACCCAGGCAAUUAAAGCACAGUCCCAGAGUUCGGUGCCUGCCCAGGCAGUGCCACUCUGGGGUUCAGUCCAGGACUAAAUGGCGAGCAAAUGGACUGCUUGAAGCACUGGGUUUGAUUGCUUAAGAGAAGGGGCUCUGCUGAGGAUACCCCACAGGAAUCUGUCGGGUAUCUCUGUCAUCCCAGACUCUUCCCUGAUAUGGAACAAAGUGAAGGUGAACAGGAAUCCCAGGCAGAGAGUCACGUGGAGAGCAAGAGCAGUGUGAAAUCCUUGCCUGGGGGAACAGCCCAUGUCAAGCUAGAGAUAAAAAAACACGCAGUUACAGACGACUACAAGCUCUCCAAGCGUGUGCUAGGGUUAGGAAUCAAUGGCAAAGUACUGGAGUGUUUCAACAAGGAGACAGGCCAGAAAUGUGCUUUGAAGCUCCUGUACGACAACCCCAAAGCCCGGCAGGAAGUCGAGUAUCACUGGCGAGCCUCAGGCUGUCCUCACAUUGUCCAUGUCCUGGAUGUGUAUGAGAAUAUCCAUAAUGGAAAGAGAUGCCUGCUCAUUGUCAUGGAAUGCAUGGAAGGAGGAGAGCUGUUUAGCAGGAUCCAGGAGAGAGGAGACCAAGCUUUCACUGAGAGAGAGGCCUCUGAAAUAAUGAGAGACAUUGGGACAGCCAUCCAGUACCUGCACUCCAUGAACAUUGCACACAGAGACGUCAAGCCUGAAAACCUGCUUUACACAUCUAAAGACAAAGACACUGUGCUCAAACUCACAGACUUCGGCUUUGCCAAAGAAACCACUGUAAAUGCACUGCAGACCCCCUGUUACACUCCUUAUUAUGUGGCCCCAGAAGUCCUCGGUCCUGAGAAGUAUGACAAAUCAUGUGACAUGUGGUCAUUGGGUGUCAUCACAUAUAUUCUCCUGUGUGGGUUCCCUCCAUUCUACUCAAACACCGGUCAAGCCAUUUCUCCAGGGAUGAAGAGAAGAAUUCGGAUGGGGCAAUAUGGAUUUCCCAAUCCAGAGUGGGCUGAAGUAUCAGAGGAAGCCAAACAACUCAUUCGCCAUUUACUGAAGACUGACCCAACAGAGAGGAUGACAGUCUCUCAGUUUAUGAAUCACCCUUGGAUUAAUAGAUCAAUGUCGGUGCCACCAACUCCUCUUCACACUGCACGGGUCCUGCAAGAGGACAAAGACCACUGGGAUGAAGUUAAAGAGGAGAUGACCAGUGCUCUGGCUACCAUGAGGGUGGACUAUGACCAGGUGAAAAUCAAAGACUUGAAAACGUCCAACAACCGCCUCCUGAACAAGCGCCGCAAGAAGCAGAAGCAGGCGGGCGCCUCCUCUGCGGCGCCGGGCUGCAACAACCAGUGAGGGCAGAAGCCAAGAGGGACCUGUGGGUGCAGGGUAAAAGUUAAACAGAGCAAUUUAAAAUCACAUGAUUGCCUCAGUCCACACCACAAAGGCAAUGAGACCGUGAAGAUGCUAUCCUGCAAAGAGGGAACAGUGUGAUAACGUUUUGAUAACUUGAAUCGGGGCUUUGCUUUUGAAGCUAAUGGAUCUGACACAAUUCUGUUGCAUAUUGCAAGGGAAGGUACAGUAAUGCCAGAAAUGUUACAGGCUCUUGGUUUGGCUUUAGCUGUGUAGGACAAGAGGAGAGAGCAGGAGGCAGUCUCAGCACAUUAAUGCACUGAGGCUUUAACAGCCAUCUACAAGAGUAACUUCUGCUGCUGUUUUAAACUGGGGAAUAGGAAAGUGCCAAGUGUUCUGCUAAGAGUGUUUUAGUAGUUUAGUAGAAUUGGUAAUAGUCUAUAUUUCCAAACUUACCUCCUAUAGUUACAGAAUAUCACCUAAACUGUAAAGUUAUUCUUCUUACAGGAAAAAGCAUCCAUACAUUUCCAUUUCAUAAAGUCUUCUGUGUAGUCUCAUGUGAAGAUUUGAGUUUGUCAUGGCUUCCCAUUUGAUAACAUGUAAAUUUUCUGAGCUGUAGCCACUAUGUUGUAUCUUUGCCACUGUCAGACCCCUCUCUUGUAAUGUUUUCAAUUUAACUGGUACUUUAUUUGAAGAGUUUCAGUCAGGAUUUAAGUAGUUGAAAGUAUCCUGCAGAGAAUAUUGCUGUUCCCCUUGGAUCCACAAUCUCCAGAGCAUGCAGCUGGAUAUGCAAGGGAUUGAUUUAGGAGAGAGACUUCUGAAAUUCAGGGAAGAAGUGGCAAAUGCAUUUCUCUGAAUGGACCCUGGUGUCUGCCAGCAUCCCUUCUGAGUUGUGAUAUGUUCGGGAUGCAAGUUGGAAUUCGAGCCAGAUCCAAGUUUCUGUCCCUUUAUCUCAUGUUUUUGAGGGAGGUAGGUACAUUAUUGCUGCCAUUCCAUCUCUGUGCCAUUCAUCAGGGUGAUGGAUGUUCCCAGGACAAGCAGUGUAUAGUGCACUGUCCUGUCUGUCUUGGGGACAGAGCCACUGAAACUGUUGCAAACCAGCUUUUUUCCUGUGCCUUGGCCAAGGUUUGAGCAGGAGCUCUCAGUUCCCACCUGGUACCUCCUGGCUUGUCAGUUCAGUCUGGAGCUCAAAGAUGUGUCUGUUCCUGGGUAGUUUUCUGUAAAAAUUCUGUAAAACACACCUGGGCCUGAUUCCUUCCUGUGGGGUUCUAGUAUUUACUGGAGAUCAGGAGCUGGAACUGAGGCACCUGGCACAGCACCUUCAGCUUUCUGUCUCUGUGUAGCAGGACAAUCCCAUUAAACUCAGACUAACAGUUCUUGCCUUCUACCCUGCAGCAACAGCACCCAGGAAUGCUGUAAAACCCUGCAGAAACCAGAGGAGGGCCUCAAAAUGGCAGACAUGGAAGUGUAUGCAAGUAUUGGACAAAAGGGUUUGUGUUUAUUGCACAGAGGGAAGGAGAAGAAUCCUUGGGAGCUGGGAAACAGCUGCCCUGCAAUGUUUGGAGCCUCAAAAUGCUGCCCUGCUCCAGGCACUGCUGCCUUCUGCAGCCCAGUGGAACAGGACAGCUCAUGUUUUACCUGGCUCUGUGUCUCCUGGAGCUGGGAGGGGCUGCCAGGGACCGGGUUUGGGGUGCAGGCAUUUCCCCAGCAGGGCCUGUGUGCUCCAUGGGGAUGUAGGGAUGUACAGAGCAUCCGAUGGACUCGGCUCUGCCCAGCCCUGCCACACCACCUGGCCCCUGCCCCAUGGCUCCAAGAGCUCCCCAAAACCAGCCUGCCCUCAGCUCCCCAAAUCUGAACCUGCCACCAGAUCACCAAAUCUGAACCUGCCAUCAGCUCCCCAAAAACCAGCCUGCCCUCAGCUCCCCAAAUCUGAACCUGCCAUCAGCUCCCCAAAAACAGCCUGCCCUCAGCUCCCCAAAUCUGAACCUGCCAUCAGCUCCCCAAAAACAGCCUGCCCUCAGCUCCCCAAAUCUGAACCUGCCAUCAGCUCCCCAAAACCAGCCUGCCCUCAGCUCCCCAAAUCUGAACCUGCCACCAGCUCACCAAAUCUGAACCUGCCAUCAGCUCCCCAAAUCUGAACCUGCCACCAGCUCACCAAAUCUGAACCUGCCCUCAGCUCCCCAAAUCUGAACCUGCCACCAGAUCACCAAAUCUGAACCUGCCAUCAGCUCCCCAAAUCUGAACCUGCCACCAGAUCACCAAAUCUGAACCUGCCAUCAGCUCCCCAAAACCAGCCUGCCCUCAGCUCCCCAGAUCUGAACCUGCCAUCAGCUCCCCAAAACCAGCCUGCCCUCAGCUCCCCAAAUCUGAACCUGCCACCAGCUCACCAAAUCUGAACCUGCCAUCAGCUCCCCAAAUCUGAACCUGCCACCAGAUCACCAAAUCUGAACCUGCCAUCAGCUCCCCAAAACCAGCCUGCCCUCAGCUCCCCAAAUCUGAACCUGCCAUCAGCUCCCCAAACCCAGCCUGCCCUCAGCUCCCCAAAACCAGCCUGCCCUCAGCUCCCCAAAACCAGCCUGCCCUCAGCUCCCCAAACCCUGUAGUAUCUCAGGCCCUGCUCUGGGUGUGUGGCUGUGCCGAAGGUGUUGUCCCUCUGGCUGCUAGCGAGGCUCUGGGGGAUGACCCUCCUCCUCCCUGCUUUCAAACACAUUAUAAAGAGCUCUGGUGAGCUCUUGGUGGUGUUUGGGUCUUGCCUCUUCCCCCAGCCAUGUCAUAUAAUAGGCUUCUUAGAACCUGCUGCUCAGGAUCCAAAUUUAUAGCCUGUUUUUAGAAAGGAUAGGCUAUUACAGAACUGAUUAUGCGUUUGCAUAUUCAUCAGCCAUAUAGAGGAGGUAAAGAGCUGGGAAGGGACAGAAGAAAUGAAUGGUCAAUAGAGAAGGCUUCAAGAAGAACACAGACUAAAAGGUCUAUUUAUUUUUUACAGCAGAAGCUAAAAAAAGGACUGUGCACUAUUCCCCACCCCCAUCCUUUUCACAGCGAUUGCUCAUGGGCCGCUGCCUCCCCUUGUGUUUCCCUGCACUGUGCUCCUCACACACGUGGUUCAUGUGCUCUCACCAGUGCUCUUGCUCUGAUCCACACACAAAUGUGUACCCAGGCACACAGGAAAUUCCCUCCCUCACUUUCCCAGCUUUUGCACUACACACUUUCUUACCUCUUUGACCACAUGUGCCACAUGAUGAACCUGGGUUUGACAUGGUACAAUUAAAAAUUGACAUUAAUGAUAA